rnacentral:rRNA from 1 species
GAUGAACGCUGGCGGCGUGCUUAAUACAUGCAAGUCGAGCGAACAGACGAGGAGCUUGCUCCUCUGACGUUAGCGGCGGACGGGUGAGUAACACGUGGCUAACCUACCUAUAAGACUGGGAUAACUUCGGGAAACCGGAGCUAAUACCGGAUAAUCUAUUGAACCGGAUGGUGCAAUAGUGAAAGACGGUGUUGCGGUCACUUAUAGAUGGACCCGCGCCGCAUUAGCUAGUUGGUAAGGUAACGGCUUACCAAGGCAACGAUGCGUAGCCGACCGGAGAGGGUGGUCGGCGACCCGGGAACUGAGACACGGUCCAUGCUCCUACGGGAGGCAGCAGUAGGCAAUCGGCCGCAAUGGGCGAAAGCCUGACGCAUCAACGCCGCGUGCGUGGUGAAGGUCUGCGGAUCGUAAAACUCUGUUAUUGGGGGAGAACAAAUUUGUAAGUAACUUUGCACGUCUUGACGGUACCUAAUCAGAAAGCCCCGGCUAACUACGUG